rnacentral:tRNA from 1 species
GAGGGUAUAGCUCAGUGGUAGAGCUUGUGCUUAGCAUGCAUGAGGUCCUGGGUUCAAUCCCCAGUAUCUCCA